rnacentral:lncRNA from 1 species
GGCGACAGUGGCGACCUGGGGAUCGACCUGGAGGGGCCUGGGCAGCGUGCAGAGACCUCUAGAUCCAGCGCGAGGGACCUCCCGCCGGGAUGCCAGGGGAGCAGAUGGACCCUACUGGAAGUCAAUUGGAUUCAGAUUUCUCUCAGCAAGACACUCCUUGCCUGAUAAUAGAAGAUUCUCAGCCUGAAAGCCAGGCUCUGGAAGAAGAUGCAGGUUCUCACUUCAGCGUGCUAUCUCGACACCUUCCUAAUCUGCAGAUGCACAAAGAGAACCCGGUGUUGGAUAUUAUGUCAAAUCCGGAACAAACUGUUGCAGAACAAGGAGACAGUAACAGCUCAUUCAGUGAACAUCUGAAAGAAAAGAAAGCGUC